CAUCCGGCAGUUGCAGCUGCAGCUGCAGCUCCACGCCGCCGGCGAGCGCCUGCACCCUCAGCGUCCUGACGUCGACGACGUGUCUACGUCGCCGUGGACACGCAUCCCCGACUGCUGUGAAUUGCAGACGAGCGAUAAAGAGAAUUCGACGUCGGGCCACCAGUUGCCGUCUCCGCAGCAAUGCCAGUAUACCGUUCCUCGGCAGGAGACCAGCGACACUGACAAGGUGUGCACGACAGGGAACUACCUGCAAGGUCUCGACUGUGAUUUGGAUGGAUUGCUGCGCGGCUGCUACCACCACCAACUCCUCUGACGGUUCCUGAAGGCGCUUCUCUACCACUCGCCAGGGUUGAACGCUAAACAGCGUACCCGAAGUCACCUAAGGGAACAUUUAGCUGUAGCAUCAGUGACGGUAGCGGCAGCAGGUCAGAUGAAGAGGACCGUGCGUGGGAAUACGUGAAAAGAGAGGACGUUUCAUCAUAAAGCCAAGCGUGCUUAGCGUAUGCAGUAGAAGAGAAAACUUAGAACGUCAGAAAUAGCGGAGAAGAUGAGCGCACACUGUCUUCUUCGAAACUGCAGUUUACGAUUAGGCUGUUAGUGUAUCUUUUAGGGACGCGACAUUUUCUCUUCGCUAGUCACCGUGCCGAACACAUCACCAUGUUUUGUCUUAGUUCGUCGGUAUAUAAACACUUCAAGAAGCGUUGAAGAUCUAGUCAUCACUC